rnacentral:rRNA from 1 species
GCUAGCUUGGGCUAGCAUGUCAAUUACCCACCUGCCAGAUUGCCUGGCGGGGAUGGGAAGCUUGAGACAGGCCUCAUCGCUGAGAAGCAAUUAAAGGUGGGCGAGCUUACGACAGGAGAUCAGUGCGGAGUAUGAUCAGGAAUGCGGAUUGAGCCGCAGUCCCGCAAGUAUUGGGGGGUACGGCCACAUCUGGGAACCAGGGAGGUCACGAACAGGUUUACAAAGGGAAUCUGCAGGAUACCACUCCAUCCCGACUCCGGGCGUCCGUGUUGCGCGACGCAAGAUGAUACAGUGGUUGGCAGACUCAAGGAAGCGGGUCAGCAAGCGAUAUGUUUAGAAAGGAGUCAACCCGCCGAGGGCGCGGCACGGCCGAUCCCUCUUUCCGUGAACAUUCUUUGCAGUAUAAAAGUAUCGUCUGAGCAAAACCACAGAAUCGUUAAAACAUUCAACAACGGAUCUCUUGGUUCUGGCAUCGAUGAAGAACGCAGCGAACUGCGAUAAGUAAUGGGAAUUGCAGAAUUCAUCGAACCAUCGAAUCUUUGAACGCACAUUGUGCCCGCCAGCAUUCUGGCGGGCAUGCCUGUCCGAGCCUCAUUUCCUCCCUCACGCAGCGCGCUUGCGUGGUGUUGGGGCGUUCUGCGGCCAGGCAUGCGCCCAGCGCAGGCCGCCGCAGCCCCCGAAAGCCAGUGGCGGGCCGGCAGCGGGCUCCGAGCGCAGUAAGCAUCACGCCCUCGCUCUGGACGCUCCCGCCUGCGCCCUGUCCCACAGACCGGCAGACGCGAGUCUGCCUCCUUCUCAAGGUGACCUCGGAUCAGGUAGACAGCCAGCCCGUU